rnacentral:rRNA from 1 species
AGAGUUUGAUCCUGGCUCAGGACGAACGCUGGCGGCGUGCCUAAUACAUGCAAGUCGAGCGAGCUUGCCUAGAUGAUUUUAGUGCUUGCACUAAAUGAAACUAGAUACAAGCGAGCGGCGGACGGGUGAGUAACACGCGGGUAACCUGCCCAAGAGACUGGGAUAACACCUGGAAACAGAUGCUAAUACCGGAUAACAACACUAGACGCAUGUCUAGAGUUUGAAAGAUGGUUCUGCUAUCACUCUUGGAUGGACCUGCGGUGCAUUAGCUAGUUGGUAAGGUAACGGCUUACCAAGGCAAUGAUGCAUAGCCGAGUUGAGAGACUGAUCGGCCACAUUGGGACUGAGACACGGCCCAAACUCCUACGGGAGGCAGCAGUAGGGAAUCUUCCACAAUGGACGAAAGUCUGAUGGAGCAACGCCGCGUGAGUGAAGAAGGGUUUCGGCUCGUAAAGCUCUGUUGGUAGUGAAGAAAGAUAGAGGUAGUAACUGGCCUUUAUUUGACGGUAAUUACUUAGAAAGGUCACGGCUAACUACGUCCCAGCAGCCGCGGUAAUACGUAGGUGGCAAGCGUUGUCCGGAUUUAUUGGGCGUAAAGCGAGUGCAGGCGGUUCAAUAAGUCUGAUGUGAAAGCCUUCGGCUCAACCGGAGAAUUGCAUCAGAAACUGUUGAACUUGAGUGCAGAAGAGGAGAGUGGAACUCCAUGUGUAGCGGUGGAAUGCGUAGAUAUAUGGAAGAACACCAGUGGCGAAGGCGGCUCUCUGGUCUGCAACUGACGGUGAGGCUCGAAAGCAUGGGUAGCAAACAGAAUUAGAUCCCCUGGUAGUCCAUCCCGUAAACGAUGAGUGCAAAGUGUAGGGAGGUUUCCGCCUCUCAGUGCUGCAGCAACGCAUUAAGCACUCCGCCUGGGGAGUCCGCCCGCAAGGUUGAAACUCAAAGGAAUUGACGGGGGCCCGCACAAGCGGUGGAGCAAGUGGUUAAAUUGGAAGCAACGCGAAGAACCUUACCAGGUCUUGACAUCCAGUGCAAACAUAAGAGAUUAGGUGUUCCCUUCGGGGACGCUGAGACAGGUGGUGCAUGGCUGUCGUCAGCUCGUGUCGUGAGAUGUUGGGUUAAGUCCCGCAACGAGCGCAACCCUUGUCAUUAGUUGCCAUCAUUAAGUUGGGCACUAUAAUGAGACUGCCGGUGACAAACCGGAGGAAGGUGGGGAUGACGUCAAGUCAUCAUGCCCCUUAUGACCUGGGCUACACACGUGCUACAAUGGACGGUACAACGAGAAGCGAACCUGCGAAGGCAAGCGGAUCUCUUAAAGCUGUUCUCAGUUCGGACUGUAGGCUGCAACUCGCCUACACGAAGCUGGAAUCGCUAGUAAUCGCGGAUCAGCACGCCGCGGUGAACACGAAACCGGGCCUUGCACACGCCGCCC